CAUUUACUAAUGCUUUUAGAUCAGCUAUAAGCCUUUAAUAAGAACACGUUUUGGGGUUGCCAGGUCAAGAAAAAUCCCUCUGCCUGCUGUUUAUGCUUCACCAGAAUCACACUUGCUUUUUCUUUGUAGUUUUUCAGUUCAUCAGGGGACUAAAGACCAUUUGACCUCUGACCCUCUGGUCACCGAUUACAAGUGAGAUUAUCACGUCACUGUUGUAAUGUCCUAACGUGUUACUGCAGAGCUGAAGGUUCAUUAACCUAUGUUGAUGAGUUAUUAACAUUCAUAGCUACAGAUCAACAUGUCAGUAGACAUCUGCUCAAGAAACAGAGUAAUUCAUAAACUAUAACUAUUUUUGUACCCCCUUGCUUAAAAUUUAAUAUAUAUAUAUAUUUUUUGUUUUUGGGUGCUUAUUGCAAAGUCAUGUUUAAUUAGAUAUUAACAGUUCCUGUUUGCACUGUCACCAUUGGCGUAUACAGAGGAUGAGGGGUUACUCUUUUUUUUCCCUAAAUCCGACACAGUAUGGGAUCAAACUUUUAGCCCGAUGCAAACACGAGGUGAACAGAACCUUUUACAGAACGAAAAAGAAAAUUCUGUGAAGAAUCUUUACAGAACCAGCUUUUAGGCCUGCCUCCCUCUUGUAAUUGUCGAGCCAGCAUUGCCCGGGUGGCAGGAUGCUGUCACUGAGUAGAGACAAUAUUAAUGUGAAUAAUUAAACCUGUGCUUUAACUGUCCGAAACGUAUCAAGAAAAUAACUCGUUUUUUUUUUGUUGUUUUUUUUUACUAAUACAAGUUUUCUGAUAGUAGAAUCCUGUAUUCACUUUUUAAACUAACAUCUCAUAUUUAGAGUACCAGUUAUACUUGUUCCUCCUCCUCUGAGAUCCCGCCCCACCAGGAAGUUAUAACAUAAACUCAACAGUGCUUUCACUUGUGUGUACAUGCCCUGCAGUGUGUGUACGGACUACAGGUGUCAAACAUUACAGAACUUCACAGGAGACGAAUGGAGAAUGGAGGAUUCAGAGAAAACCCACCUGGGGAGAAUGCUGAUGUGCACCGUGUGCAGGGACAUUUUCAAGGAUCCUCGACAGCUGCCCUGUGGACACAGCAUGUGUGCGGGCUGUCUGGAAAACAUGAUGGGUCACGCCACAGACUCUCCCUUCCGCUGUCCCGACUGCAGGACGUCCUUUGGACCGAGCAUUGAGGUCAGGCUGCAGAAGAACUACGCGCUGGCAAACAUCACAGAGGAUUUCAGGGAGAGCCGCAGAAGGAGGCAGGAGCAGACAAAAAGUGUAUACUGCGACUGCUGUCCAGGGAAAAAAGCCUUGGCCACACAAACAUGUUUGAAGUGCGAGGUGUCGAUGUGCACAGAGCACGUCGAGGGUCACCUGGAGCUCCCAGCGUUCACGGGACACCCCCUGGUCAGGCCCCUGGGUGACCUCCAGGAGAGGAAAUGCCCGCAGCAUGGCGGCGAGGUGCCGAGGUACUACUGCAACACGUCCAGGCGCUACAUCUGCAACAUGUGCGCCCUGGAGAGCAAGCAGCAAAACAUAGCCACUGAGGCCUCCACUGCGCUGCGGAGACAAAUGAUUGAGUACAUGGACCAGCGCUUAACAGCCCUCGAGCAGCAAAUCACAGGAUCCACGGACUCUGUAAGAAGACUGAAAGAAGACAUCCAACGCGAAAGACUGAAACUUAUCCCCGCAGACUUGUGCCUCAACAGUGUCACAGUGGUUCUGCUCUGUCUGUGGUUCAUAGUUCUGUAUUAUGCCUACAACUACUUUGUGGAAAACCUGACACUAAGAGAAACGCUGGACAAGCAGCAGAACUAUGCGCAUCAUAUCUGUUCCUCCAUUGCAGGUGAGAAGUCCAGUCUCAAGGCAGCAACAAAACUUAAGAGAAAUCUUGGUAAAGCAUCCAAUGACAAGCCACACGCCUGCUGAAGAUGAAUGUACAAAGGACCAAUCGGUUGGAAACAAGGCGUCAGAAUGGAAGUGUUAAAGGUCCCUCUCCACCCGGUGCUUCCCCUCUUGGUACCCACAUCUGGGAGGUGGUGAUGGUUCAUUUUGAGAAAUGCAACAUCACAUUCAGUCCUGUGGAGUCCACCAUCCACACGAGUUCAAGGCUUAAGCGACUCAGUGUCUCUGGGCCAGUGUCUCUGGGUUUGGAGCUUGAGCUUGACCCUUGUGGAUCAACCCAGCAGAAUCUAUUGUCAAAGCCUCCUGAAUAAAUGUGGAAUAACUGUUGUUGGAACCAUAUUCAACUAAAACUGAAUCCAGACUGCCGCUAGUCCAGUGGAUUGCUCUGAAAGCGGACGUGUUUCUAAGAGUAGAGACCUUAAUAAGUUAAAGAUAUAAAAUGGAACAUCUGCCUCAGGUAUGUUGUACUGUGAUGUUUUAUGAUAUAUACAAUGUUUAAUUAACCGUUUGAUUGUAGAUCAAUUUUUUCUAUAUACAUUUGCAAUACACUGUAUUCCUAUAAAACGUGUUCAAGGGAUUUUGUAUCUUUACAAGGAAAAGAAAAGGUACUAUUAUUGUGGACAAAUUGCAACAACACAUUGACAACACUACUUUUUGGUAGGAUUGUCCCAUUUUCCUACCUAUCUCCUCAGACAAAUAGGAAAUAGGCAAUAACAGGGUAUCUACAGCUAUAAACAAGUACAAUUUUAGACUUUUGAAGACCCUUUUAAUACCACUUGAAAUGAAAAGAAUGACUAAACUUGCAAUGGAAAUACACGCCCACAAGUAAUGUUUUUUGGGGGGUGUCCAUUCAGUAUCGACAUCUACUAACCUCACUUUGUAUUGAAAGAGAAUUCCAGCUUCUCUUCUUUUGAGAGAUGACAACCCGACUUUUCUGAACACCAGACACUUUGGUCUCAAGUCCAAGACAGUGGUUAAUUCUCAGCCACUGUGAACAGACCCUGAGUGGCUGCAGCAAUAAACCCAGUUUAUACAAUUUAGUAACGGUUUGAUUUCUUAUUAAUUCAACUUUUCAUUUGUCAGAGGGAGUGUGUGUAUUAUUAUUCAUAUUAUUUAGUUUCAC